GUGCCAGCCGCCGCGGUAAAACGUAGGACACGAGCGUUAUCCGGAGUUACUGGGCGUAAAGGGCAGGUAGGCGGACAGGCAAGUUGGGUGUGAAAUCUCCCUGGCUUAACCGGGAGGGUGCACUCGAAACUGCUUGACUGGAGGGCGGCAGAGGAGCGUGGAAUUCCGGGUGGAGUGGUGAAAUGCGUAGAGAUCCGGAGGAACACCAGAGGCGAAAGCGGGGCUCUGGGCCGCACCUGACGCUGAACUGCGAAAGCCAGGGUAGCGAACGGGAUUAGAAACCCGCGUAGUCC
rnacentral:rRNA from 1 species